rnacentral:rRNA from 1 species
UGUCUUCUAAAUAAAGACCCGUAUGAACGGCUAAAUGAAGAUUAAUCUGUCUCCUUUAACCAAUCAGUGAAACUGAUNUUUCAGUACAAAAGCUGAAAUAAUAAUAUAAGACGAGAAGACCCUGUGGAGCUUUAAGUUUUAGUCAAAAUUUGCUCAUCGCACAUAUUCAUGACAACAUACUUUAAGUUGGGGCGACUUCGGAGAAAAAUAAAACCCCCGAGCAAGCAGGCACUGCUAAACCUAGGCCUACCAGCCAAAGCUAACAUUGACCCAGUAUUACUGAUCAACGAACCAAGUUACCCCAGGGAUAACAGCGCUAUCUUCUUCAAGAGUCCAUAUCGACAAGAAGGUUUACGACCUCGAUGUUGGAUCAGGACACCCAAAUGGUGCAGCCGCUAUUAAAGGUUCGUUUGUUCAACGAUUAACAGU